CCUCCUCCAGCCCAGUGGCAGUCUAUACAGGAGUGUCGCAGCUCCCUGCCCAAUCCCACAGUGUGUGAGGGCACAAUCAUCCCUCCCACGCCCCACCAGUAAGUAAAGCAUCCCGUGCCUUUGGUUGCUCUUUGAAACUUUCCCUCUCUCCCCUCCCCCUCACAUCGCAAUCUGUGCGUCUCAGAAGCUGGCAGCUAUCCCAGGCUCCGGGUUGCUGUGUCACUUCUCAGCCUCAAGCAACCAUUUCUAGACAAGUAGUGAUAUCUCUGCAUCGAGGACAUAAAAUGGAGACUCUGUCAGAACACCACAGUGACAAGAAGACAGGAGCAUGGAAGACCUUCACCAACAUCACCACCUUGACCUACACACUUCAAUCACCGCCAUUUAAUCUGGUAAAAAUAUUUCAAAGCCUACUUGAAAUAAAAAUAUUUCAAAGCAC
ensembl:antisense Gm38097 predicted gene, 38097